rnacentral:rRNA from 1 species
CAAUAGCGUAUAUUAAAGUUGUUGCGGUUAAAAGCUCGUAGUUGGAUUUCUGUUGAGGGCGACCGGUACGCAUUUCGUGCGUUAUCUGGCUCGGUCUUGGCAUCCUCUUGGGGAACGACUCCAUGCUUAAUUGCACGGAUCGGGAUUCAAGACUUUUACUUUGAGGAAAUUAGAGUGUUCACGGCAAGCAAGUGCUUUGAAUACAUUAGCAUGGAAUAAUAAUAUAGGACCUUUGUUCUAUUUUGUUGGUUUCUAGAACUAAGGUAAUGAUUAAUAGGGACAAUUGGGGGCAUUCGUAUUAACGCGUCAGAGGUGGAAUUCUUGGAUUGCGUUACGACGAACUACUGCGAAAGCAUUUGCCAAGGAUGUUUUCAUUGAUCAAGAACGAAAGUAUGGGGAUCGAAGACGAUUAGAUACCAU